UAGGGAAUAUUGGUCAAUGGGCGAAAGCCUGAACCAGCAACGCCGCGUGUGCGAUGAAGGCCUUCGGGUCGUAAAGCACUUUUCUGGGAGAUGAGAAAGGACAGUAUCCCAGGAAUAAGUCUCGGCUAACUACGUGCCAGCAGCCGCGGUAAAACGUAGGAGGCGAGCGUUAUCCGGAUUCACUGGGCGUAAAGCGCGUGCAGGUGGCUUGGUAAGUUAGGCGUGAAAUCUCCCGGCUCAACUGGGAGAGGUCGUCUAAUACUACCGGGCUUGAGAGCAGAAGAGGAAGAUGGAAUUCCCGGUGUAGUGGUGAAAUGCGUAGAUAUCGGGAGGAACACCAGUGGCGAAGGCGACCUUCUGGUCUGUUUCUGACACUCAGACGCGACAGCUAGGGUAGUAAACGGGAUUAGAGACCCCGGUAAUCCUAGCCGUAAACGAUGUAAACUUGGCGUUGGUGGGUUAAACUCCAUCAGUGCCGCAGCAAACGCGAUAAGUUUACCGCCUGGGGACUACGGCCGCAAGGUUAA
rnacentral:rRNA from 1 species